GAAAUGCGAUAAGUAAUGUGAAUUGCAGAAUUCAGUGAAUCAUCGAAUCUUUGAACGCACAUUGCGCUCGCCAGUAUUCUGGCGAGCAUGCCUGUUCGAGCGUCAUUUCAACCAUCAAGCUCUGCUUGCGUUGGGGAUCCGCGGCUGCCCGCGGUCCCUCAAAAACAGUGGCAGGCUCGCUAGUCACACCGAGCGUAGUAACUCUACAUCGCUAUGGUCGUGCGGCGGGUUCUUGCCGUAAAACCCCCAAUUUCUAAGGUUGACCUCGGAUCAGGUAGGAAUACCCGCUGAACUUAAGC
rnacentral:misc_RNA from 1 species